rnacentral:lncRNA from 1 species
GGCGGGCACCCGGAGGCGGCCCAGGCGGGGGUCUCCCCCGGGGCCUGGGGCGGGCCGAAGAUGUCCAGGCCUGGCCGGAGCCGCCUCCUGAUUGACGAGGCCCGCAUGGGAGUGCGGACGUGCAGCACAGAUUUGCGGGUCUCCUGGGCCUCUUGGGCGGUGAUCAGCGCGGACCUUGGGCCAACCGGGGAAGCAGGCCGGAGCACUACCCCCCACCCCCAUUUUAGAACAUCCUUCUGAGGGCUUCGCUGACCUCGGCUUGAACUCCUUCAGAGCCGGAGAGAUCACUCCUUCCACCACCGAGGGAGAGGAGGCAAAAUGAAUUUGCCAGCUUUGAAUUCAUUCUCAAGGCUCCGCUAGUCUCACAGCCAGUGAACUCAGUCUGGAAUUCCUGAAAGCUCAGAAAACUGCUGCUUAGGUCCACCCGGGCGUGGGGGACGGGGUGUGUGGGGGCGCAGGCGGCGGAGUGGGGGCGUUAUUUUAUUUUCCCCAGGGGAAAUUCUGCCUCCCUAUGCCAUUGGGUGCAAGAAAAGGCACUCCUUUGGGGCCUCAGUCUUCCUACCUGUCACAUGGACAUGGACUGUGAUGACUGCUGCUCUUCCACCCCCGCCCUCCCUGUAGGUGGCAGCUGAGCAUCCCUGGAGAGGGUGGGUGGUAUGAAAGCACUUCCAGACCUCUAGGGACACCAGGGAGUCAUGGUCCCAGCACAUUGCUGUGUGAUUGAGCCCCUCCUCAGCCUGUGGGUGGCCUAAGUUCACAGGGAGGUAAUGGGGUAGAUUGGAUACCUCUGGGGUCUUGGAAGAAGCUAUGACUUAUUUACUGUCUACUAUGUGAGUUUUGGGCAUCCUUCUAUCAGCCCUUAUCCCAGGGCAGGAAGAACAGCCUUGAUCCUGGAUCCCAGGCACAGCUGGGUGUCAGACCUGGAGGAGAAGCUCCCAGAGUGACCAAGAUAGAAUCGGCAUGCAGCUGAAGCCACUUGCUCAGAGCCGCACAGCAAGCCCACCACCCUGAACCUCCAGAUUACCAACUCAGCAUUGUGUCCUGACAGUGUCAUCAUAGAUGGUCAACACCGUCACCUGGGCAGCACUGAAGCCCAGAGCGGGAGAGACUGGCUCAAGACCAUGGUGAUGUUCCUUUUCCUGUCACCAACACACACAGCACACAGAGAAGUUUGUUUCUGUUGCUUUAAAAAAGUUUCCUUCUGGGGAGGAGGGCAAGGGGUUGUUUACUGGGCCUGCAAAGCCUCACCGUGGGUGUGGGCAUGGGUGUGGCAUGGGUGUGGGUGGCAACUGGGUCCCUGCUGGAUUUGGGGUUGGUGGAGGCUGCACCCACGACCCUGGGCCUCUGGAUCCUGUGCAAAAGCCAGGAACGUGGAAGGAAAACCUCCUGUGCACCCUGCUCAGGGCUGGGC